ACGAACGCUGGCGGCGUGCCUAAUACAUGCAAGUCGAACGGUCUUUCUAUGGAAGCUUGCUUCCACUGAGAAGAUAGUGGCGGACGGGUGAGGUAACACGUGGGGUAACCUGCCCAUAAGAGGGGGAUAACAUCCGGAAACGGGUGCUAAUACCGCAUAGUUUUCUUGAUCGCAUGAUCGGGAAAGGAAAGACGGCCUUUGUGCUGUCGCUUAUGGAUGGACCCGCGGCGUAUUAGUUAGUUGGUGAGGUAAUGGCUCACCAAGACGAUGAUACGUAGCCGACCUGAGAGGGUGAUCGGCCACAUUGGGACUGAGACACGGCCCAAACUCCUACGGGAGGCAGCAGUAGGGAAUCUUCCGCAAUGGACGAAAGUCUGACGGAGCAACGCCGCGUGAGUGAAGAAAAGGUUUUCGGAUCGUAAAACUCUGUCGUCAGAGAAGAACAAGUUGGAGAGUAACUGCUCCAGCCUUGACGGUAUCUGACCAGAAAGCCACGGCUAACUACGUGCCAGCCGCCGC
rnacentral:rRNA from 1 species